CAGUAGCCGCGGUAAUGUGUAGGUGGCAAGCGUUGUCCGGAAUUGUUGGGCGUAAAGGGCUCGUAGGCGGUGUGUCGCGUCGGCCGUGAAAACCUGGGGCUCAACUCUGGGCGUGCGGUCGAUACGGGCAUCACUUGAGUUCGGCAGGGGAGACUGGAAUUCCUGGUGUAGCGGUGAAAUGCGCAGAUAUCAGGAGGAACACCGGUGGCGAAGGCGGGUCUCUGGGCCGAUACUGACGCUGAGGAGCGAAAGCAUGGGUAGCGAACAGGAUUAGAGACCCGCGUAGUCCCUGUCUCUUAUA
rnacentral:rRNA from 1 species